rnacentral:rRNA from 1 species
AUACGUAGGUGACAAGCGUUAUCCGGAUUUACUGGGCGUAAAGGGCGUGUAGGCGGUCUUGCAAGUCAGAAGUGAAAUUCCUGAGCUCAACUCGGGCGCUGCUUCUGAAACUGCAGGACUUGAGUGCUGGAGGGGAUAGCGGAAUUCCUAGUGGAGCGGUAAAAUGCGCAGAUAUUAGGAAGAACACCGGUGGCGAAGGCGGCUAUCUUGGCAGUAACGGGCGCUGAGGCGCGAAAGCGUGGGGAGCAAACAGGAUUAGAUACCCUGAUACUCCACGCCGUAAACGAUGAAUUCUAGGUGUAGGGGGUAUCGACUCCCUCUGUGCCGCAGUUAACACAAUAAGUAUUCCGCCUGGGGAGUACGGCCGCAAGGUUGAAACUCAAAUGAAUUGACGGGG